rnacentral:lncRNA from 1 species
CCAAAUUCAAACGGUAGUAGCCAGCCCUCCGCCAGAGAAAGGCAACGACAUUGCCAAUUCUUUGCGAGGAUUCUGGGAGCAGUAACCUUGGAGCUCUGUGUAGGCGGCCAGGCUUCCGCUACAGGAGGGCGUGGCUGUGACGAUUAUCUCAUUGGGGAUUCUGGGGUUAUAAUACAGGAAUUGUGGGUAAGUACAGUCACUUCUGCUCCAUGAAAGUGAGGUCAUCAUUCGUUUCAGGAAGUUGAGUGAGGCCUGAGACAGCAAUGUUUCGUUUAGCCUGGCGGUGGCCCUCCUUGUCUUCAAGAAGAGCAUCCGUGGCUAGCAGUGGAAGAUGGGGUUGGGCCCCAGGACUGACCAGGCAGUUCUGCCACCUUCUAGGAGUGUGAAAUUGGGAAGUAAUUCAAAAUGUAUGUGCCUAGCAUUCCUUUUAUGUAACAUGAGGGGAAUAGAAGUACCAAACCGAUGCAGUUCAGUGGAGAAUUAAAUGAGAUAGUCACAAGUAAAAGGUGGUAAGUGUGGUUCAUUUUAUUAAUUUUCUUUUAAUUUCCCGAGAAGCCCCAGUUACCUGAAAGCUUCUGUGAGCCUGGGAAGGGAUCAGAGUUCCACCUGCAGUGCUAUUUUGCCCCUUCUUUCUGAUCCUUACAGGAAGCAGGACGAUUCCUGGAUUCCCUUUUUAAAAAAGAGGGAGACACAGUUCUGGUUUCUCGCAGAUGGUCACAGGAAUGAGGAAAGAAUGACUCUGGCUCCUAGCAGCAGAAUCUUAACUGAGUAUGACUUAGCAUCCUUCUUCUUGCUGUGUCAUCUCUCUUCUCAGGGCAGAAGAUAUUUACUAAUUAGCACAUUCUGCUAGCACAUCUGUGGGAAAAGAGACGCGAUCUUACUGCAUUGACCAGGAUGGUCUCAAACUCCUGGCUACAGGCUAUCCUCCUGCCUCUGUCUCCCAAAGCGCUGGGAUUACAAGCGUGAGCCACCAGGCCUGGCCCAAUUGCUUCUUAACAACUUACUAUUCUUUGUUCACUACAGUGUAUACAUAACUGACUUUUUAUUUGGAUCUUCAUUUUGUAAUGAAGGCUCUGGUCACAUGUAAGACUUGUAUUAAAUAAAUUUGCCUGCUGUUCUGUUAAUCUGUGUUAUGCUAAUUUAAUUCUUGAGCCCAGCUGGGUCCUGGAGAGGAUAGAGUGAAAUUUUGUGGCAGCUACGUAAGUCAAUGAAAUUGGAAACAGAAAAACAAUCUUUAAAAAUCAAUAAAAUCAUAAACUUAUUCUUUGAGAAGAUCAAUAUAGUUUAUAAACCUUUCAACUGACUCACCCACAGGGAAAAAGAAGAAAACAAAAAUCAGGAGGGAGGGAAUGUUAUUACAAAUUUUGCGGAUAUUAAAAGGAUUAUAAGGGAACAUUACAAACAACUCCUUGUCCAUAAAUUGAUCAAUUUACAUGACAUGGAAUAUUACUUGAAAGGCACAAACUACCAAAGCUCACUCAGGAAGAAUGGAUAACCUAGAUACUUGCGUGUAUGUAUGUGUGUGCAUACAUACAAUUUUUACACACACACACACACACACACAUAUAUAUAUAUAUAUGCACAGUUAAUUUUUUCUAUCUUUUGUAGAGAUGGGUUUUUACCAUGUUGCCUGGGCUGGUCUUGAACUCCUGGGCUCAAGCGCUCUGCCCACCUUGGCCUCCCAAAGUGCUGGGAUUACAGGCUUGAAACACUGCACCUGCCUGGCCUGAUAUAUAUUUCAAAACUGAUUUAAUAGAUAAAGCCUUCCAACAACAACAAUAAAAAAAACAAUAUUGAGAUGAAUUCAUUGGUGGAUUCUACUAAACAUUUAAAGAGUAAAGAUGUGAAUUUUAAAUAAACCCAGAAACAAAAAGAGAAGGGAACACCCA